AUCACUUCUUGGCCUUUUGGCUAAGAUCAAGUGUAGUAUCUGUUCUUAUCAGUUUAAUAUCUGAUACGUCCUCUGUCUGAGCACAAUAAGUAUUAAUGGGCUUCCUUGGUGGCUCAGACGGUAAAGCGUCUGCCUGCAAUGUGGGAGACCUGGGUUCGACUCCUGGGUCGGGAAGAUCCCCUGGAGAAGGAAAUGGCAA
rnacentral:snRNA from 1 species